rnacentral:lncRNA from 1 species
GUAUCGUCAUACCAAGACUUGUAAGUUCUAUUUCUGAUCCAUAAUGCAUUAAGCAUGAUCUUUCCUAAAAGUGUAGUUUCAGACCACCCAAACAUGUAAUUUGCAUAAAAGAUUUCAUGUUCCGAAACUCAAGUCAAAACCAUGCAAAAACUUUCAUCAAACAUAUGGUGGUCAUGUGCUUUUGGAAAAAUUAUGCACUCUUUCAUUAUAUGUAUAUUGAACAUUUACAA